GAUGAACGCUGGCGGCGUGCCUAAUACAUGCAAGUCGAGCGAACGGACGAGAAGCUUGCUUCUCUGAUGUUAGCGGCGGACGGGUGAGUAACACGUGGAUAACCUACCUAUAAGACUGGGAUAACUUCGGGAAACCGGAGCUAAUACCGGAUAAUAUUUUGAACCGCAUGGUUCAAAAGUGAAAGACGGUCUUGCUGUCACUUAUAGAUGGAUCCGCGCUGCAUUAGCUAGUUGGUAAGGUAACGGCUUACCAAGGCAACGAUGCAUAGCCGACCUGAGAGGGUGAUCGGCCACACGGGAGCUGAGACACGGUCCUGACGCCUACGGGAGGCAGCAGUAGGGAAUCUGCGGCAGUGGGCGAAAGCCUGACGGAGCAACGCCGCGUGAGUGAUGAAGGCCUUCGGAGCGUAAAACUCUGUUAUGGGGGAAGAACAGAUGUGUAAGUAGCUGUGCACAUCGUGACGGUACCUAAUCAGGAAGCAACGGCUAACUACGUG
rnacentral:rRNA from 1 species